rnacentral:rRNA from 1 species
CCCGCACAAGCGGUGAGCAUGUGGUUUAAUUCGACGCAACGCGAAGAACCUUACCUGGGCUUGACAUCCCGAUCGCACCUUAUGGAAACAUAGGGGUCAGUUCGGCUGGAUCGGUGACAGGUGCUGCAUGGCUGUCGUCAGCUCGUGUCGUGAGAUGUUGGGUUAAGUCCCGCAACGAGCGCAACCCUUGUCCUUAGUUGCCAGCAUUCAGUUGGGCACUCUAAGGAGACUGCCGGUGUCAAACCGGAGGAAGGUGGGGAUGACGUCAAGUCCUCAUGGCCCUUAUGGGUAGGGCUUCACACGUCAUACAAUGGUCGGUACAGAGGGUUGCCAAGCCGCGAGGCGGAGCCAAUCCCACAAAGCCGAUCGUAGUCCGGAUUGUUCUCUGCAACUCGAGGGCAUGAAGUCGGAAUCGCUAGUAAUCGCAGGUCAGCAUACUGCGGUGAAUACGUUCCCGGGUCUU